GAGUUAUUCAUGCUUCUAUCUCUGAGACAGUCAUCCAGGUAUCAUAGUAUUCCUGCCUUUAUAUAAGUUAGUUUAUAAAGAUCAGGCUGGCAAAGAGGUGUUAUGACAGACGGUACUUUGAAAACAAAGUCUUCACGCUGAUAGCCCUUCUCAAGUACAUUCAAUGAAGGUCAGAUGAGGAUAAAAAACUAACUCUUGACAAUACUGAUAUCUUUCACUUAAGGGUCUUCUGUUUGAUCUGCAGCAAGAAGAAAACACUGCUCCUCGACUACAUGAUGCACUUGAGUCCUUGUGCUUUUCAGCUUGGCUUCUAUUCUAAUAAGAAAGAAGAAAGUCA
rnacentral:lncRNA from 1 species